GAAGCGAGCAGCGGUGCUGCCCUUCAGCCUCAGCACUCCGUCCAUGUGAAGUCCAUCUCCAUACAAGGAGAUGAGUAUGGUGGAGAGGGCUCCCCUGAGGAUCAACGGAGGAAGAUCCAAUUCUGCUUUCUUCAAGUUUUUGGGGGUGUUCAGAAAUAUUUGCAAAGGACAGAAUAAUAUCCUUUUAACCAGAAGGUGCAUGCACCAGUGGAAGGAGAAGGCUGCUUUUUGAUUCUCCUAGACAGAGGCUGUGAUAAGCAAGGUCUGGACAGUCUGUGCUGCCUGGGAAUGUGCAGGUGACUAUGGAGACAGCGUGGAGGGACAAGAAUGGGCAUAUGGUCCUCAUUGGCACAGCAUAACAAAGUAAUUAAAAAUGUCUUAAAAUGCAGAAACCCCCCAAACUGUAAAGUAUAUCAUGGUAGAUGUCAAAUUAGCAUUUUCUGUCUCUUUUUAACAAUGCCAUAAUCUCAUUAAUC
rnacentral:lncRNA from 1 species